CGCGAAUUGGUUUUGUAGAGGGAAGAGGCGGUGAAGAUCCAAUGGUCGUUGCUGAUUCUAGUUUUUGAUUUGGAUAUAUGCGAUAUCGACACGUACAUGAUGAUGACUAUCCACCUCAGCAGCCACUUUACACUUGAGUUCAAAACUGAAGAAACUUGAAGAGAAAGGAAAUUAAUCACAGUUUAUGUUUCAUCAGCAAUAAUCCAUGGCUACAGUUCAAUGACUUGCAGCAGCUUCGCUCAACUUAGUAGCUACUGCAACAACUCACUUCAGCUCAACAUCCUUCCUUAAGCAGAACUCUGAGAGCUCAUCUUUUACCCUUUCACUCACUACGAGAGCUACUUCGCAGCUGAUUUUCUUUAAGCUUUAAAAAGAAGUUUACCUGUUGUCAUAAGAGCUGAUUUGAUCAUGGAAGAAGUCCAAUCAGGAUGCAGUGAUUUAAUGAAAGCGGCAGAGCCAGUGACAUGUGGACAAGCCAUGGAUGUACCAGAUCCUAAACCAUAAUUUGCAGGCUUGUUACCAUUCGGAGUAGUCCCUUCUUUUGGAACAAUUGCAGCUAAAAUUGCAACGCCUGGUGCUGCUACGUCAGGCUGCCAAAUUAAUCAAUGUCAGACAUGUAUAUUUAUAGUACAUAUUAACACGAUCUAUAUAUAUGCAUAGAUAACCUUGAGAAUGUUUUCUGUGAAGGCUCCUGGACCUCUUGAUGAGAAAUAUGCAACAACUGGUGCUGGGUUGUACUUUGGAACAUCGACUGUUGACAGGAUUGUGGCAGUUGGAUUCCUAUAUAAAAGCAAAUGAAAACAAAUUAGAUAGGUAUCUUCGGUGCUGUAUCUGUGUUGGCACAGGCCAGAAUUCCAGUAGUGCCUUCUCACAAAGAGUUGCAUAGAAUUGAGGCGAAAAUAAACAAGAAGCUUACUUGGUAGAAUUGAUGUACUUGACGAUUUGAUACCAGUCUGAGUUGCCAACUUGUGAGAAUGGAAAUAUGCCUGAAUCAAAAGGAACACCUUUCUCUUCCUCAUUAACAAAUAUUAGGCCUUUGGCUUUAGCA